AUUUUAGAACCUUUAUUCUCUUCCUUCUCCUCUCAAGAAGACAGGUCUGUAGGAUCCAUAAACGGAGUUUCUCAUGGAUUCAUGUUGUCUAUACUUUAUGUCAUGGCCUCUCCUGUAGGCAAGAGCCCUGAAUGACUCCGGCAAGCAUCGAGAGGUGGACCUCACUGAUCAGAAGUUUGUCCCUAUAACUUCUACCCACUGAUUCCAGAUGUAUUGCGGCAACCACAUGAAACCAGGAUGACCCUUGAACAGCUCUCCGUGUCUACUUUUAUCCAUGCCCAACAGCCUUAUUUUCGAUGGUUUUUCCUAAGAGAGACAGAGCACGAACAGGGGAGAGGGGCAGAGGGGGAGAGAGAGAAUCUGAAGCAGGCCGGACGCCCAGUGCCCAGACCAACACGGGGCUCAGUCUCCCAACCUGGGGAUCGUGACCUGAGCCAAAACCAAGAGUCGGAUGCUCAACCAACUGAGCCACCCAGACGUAGGAUUAUCGUCGCCACGGCUUUUAUGUGUAUCAGCUUUAACUGAAAUCUUUUUGUUCUGGAUCAGAAACAGAAUGAAAAUGUUCAUGAAGCAUAGAAUGCAUAAACGAACGCCGUCUGCUUCUUACAGCCUGUAAAACAUUUUUAAUGUAAAAUAUUUUGAAAAAAAUAAAAGAAGAGAAACGUUUCAUAUCAUGGGAAAAGAUACCGAACUUGAAUUUCAGUGCCCAUAAACCAAGUUUUAUCAGAACACGACCAGGAUCACGUGUUGACAGACCGGCUGCGGCUGCCUUUCCCGCUACGAUGCCAGAGUCGAGGAGUUAGACAGGGACCCGUUUUUUCAGAAAUGUUUGCGGACCCCUGCUGUGUGGCCAUGGGGUUGGUGAACAAGGAGACUUUCAUAAAUACAAUGUGGAGAGAAAAGAGCUAGCCUCCAGAGUGCUUGCCUGUAACCCGCGCAAAAUUAAUCUACGGGGAGAGGAGUCUGAAGGCAGCGACCUCUGUGGGGAGGGGGGCAGUGAAUGGGUUUCCUGAACUAGGGGGCAUUUUCUGGGUGCUGGAAGGAUCUGCUUCUUGAUGUAGGCUCUGGAUACACGGAUGGGUUCCCCAAAAUUCACUGGACACUUAAACGAUUUGUUCUCUUUCCUGCAUCCGUGUUAGACCUCGAUCUUAAAGUUUACUUUAAAAUUUAAAGAAAGAGUGGUGUCUGGGGGGCUCAGUUAAGUGUCAGCCUUUUGAGUUCAGCUCAGGUCAUGAUCUUAUGGUUUGAGGGUUCAAGCCCUGCAUCUGGCUCUGCACUGACAGUGCA